CACUGGCCUUGAGACCAGGACCUGUAUCAGACUCUAGAAAGAUCAGUGUGAUUUGGAGCUGCUACAGACUGGAAUAUUUCAGUGAAAAACAAAACAAAACAAAGCAUUCACCCUUAUUCUUGCAGUCUUGUUUUAUUUGAAGGAGUAAAUAAUUGGGCCUUAUUCAGAGCUGCAAGUUUUGGUAAGCCCUAAAAUGAACAAAAAAUUGUAUAAAAUGGAAGCAAUUCACCAAUUCUAUUCACUUAACAUUUACUGAUUUUCUUCCAGGUUUAAGUAUUAUGAUAGGCAUUGUACAGUAAUUACUUUAUUGACCAUCUUCUCUGGUGUUUGUAUUAAUACACAAAGAAAUCUAACUUUAAAAGUGUAGCAUUGCUUUCAGCUGACACCAAUCAUUACCCGUUAUCCCAAUUCAUUAAAUCAGAUUGUUUCAGCAAUAAGUUACAUUUUGAAGUUAACGAAAUACUUAAAAGGCUGUGAUGUUGUAGCUGCAGAUGUAGUAUGCAAAACACAUUUGAUUCAUGUCGUUCAGCACAAUUUCAUCUUAAAAUCUUAUCUACAAAACAUUUUUACACAUCUAUUAUUCUCUUGCUUUAUGUAAAGUUUAUGUCAUUUAUCUCUAUCAAGUUAAGUUACAUUUCUAGUUUUUCUCAACCAUAAAAGACAGCAUUAAUUUUUACAAACAUUAAUGAUGAACUAUAUUCACUCAUAACUAUUUGUGUCUAAGUCAUCUUAGAUUUACUGAACAAUUUCUGAGUAACUAAUGGCUAGCCUUUUAUUAUUCUAUGAUGAUAAACAUUUUUACAGUAUCCAGGCUUCAGACAUAUUUUUGAAAACAUUUCUAUAUGGGUCAAAAUUUAAAUCAGUUGUAAUAUGUGAUCCACUCAAAUAUAUUCUCCAGGAUGCGCUAUUAAAAUGAAAUACCGAGGUGGUUCCCCAAGACACCAAUUUAAAGUGUAUAUGUGCAGUGCAGGGUUACUGGACCAAGGCACAGUGUAAACAGCGAAAUUUUAUUUUUUGUUUUCUUUUUCCUAAGAUGUUUCUUAUUCCCCAUUAUAUAAAAAUGUAUAUUACAGGCAAAGAAAAAUUAACACGAAUAGAAGUAAAUAUAAAGUAUAUUCACAUUAAUAUCAGCUUUGCUUUAUCUAUUAAGGGAUGUAACACACUUGUGGUUUUCAGGACCUUGUAACUCCUGGUUCAUUGGAAAGCACAGAAAUUCUUCAGAGCCUCAAGAGUUGUGUUUAACGCAUUAUUUAAAUAGUGUCCAACCACUAGUUAGAUAGCUUAGCACUCAAAUAGCCUUUGAAAUCUCUGUAGACUCACCUCAAUUGAAGAGUCCUGAUAAUUUACAGAAGUGUGUAGUGCACUAAGAGAUCCCUGAUGGAUAAUGUCUUUGCCUGUGGAGUGUUUUAUGUGUUGAUCCACUGGAGUGUGUGUGUGUGUGUGUCUGUGUGUAGGUGGGUGAGUAUGGGUGGGCGUGGAUUGUGUGUGUAUGUGUUUACACUGUGGUAUGUGUCUGUUGGGGUGCCGCCAUUUGGGAUUUGGAAAAGUGAGGACCAUAAACUUGUCAACAUUCCUACAUGCCUGCUUCAUAAGAAGUGUACUGAACAUGGCCAAAAGUAACUAAACCAAGUAAACAAAUUAGACAUUAAUUAAAUUUAAUGCUGGGCAGGAAAGAAGUAGUCAAGGCCAGGUAAAAUGAAGAAAUAUAACCAAAUGAAUGAAAUUUUUAGAUUGAUUCAUAGAAUGAGACAGGAAUAUUUUUUAAAAUUUGUAGUUUCUAAUGAAUAACAGCAUAUAAAAUAAGAAUCAUAUGGCUGUCAAUUGACUAAAAACUGUACAUAAGAUUUGAGCUAGUGAAACAACCAUAUAUGAUCUUCUAAUUCCACUUUUCUAUCUCAAGAAUGACUUGUUAAAAUGAUUUUUUUUGAAAUUUUACAUUCUCAUCUUGAAAGAGCUUCACAAAACUCACAUGAGAAUCUGGAUUGUCAUAAGAGGUCUGAUUUUUUAAUGGUAUGUUUGUAUUUUUGUUAUGUACAUCAAUGUCAAGCAUUCGUUUCCUGAGCUGUUCUCUACAACACAAUUUAACUUGUAAUGGACACUCAGUAAAUGGUCGGUUGGAUAUUCAAAUCAACACCUUAGUUCCAUCAAUUUUCACUUCAUAUAAAAAUGCCUGAUCUUCUAUACUCAUCAAUGAAACAGAGAGAUGAAGGAGGGAGAGCAGUUGAGACUGAGAGGAUGACAAGCAGACCUCAUUCUGCAGUGGAUUUCCUACACUCUCCACUUCUGAAUGCUUGGAAACACUUGCCAUGCUCAAAAAAUAUUGGUAUUUCCUAGGCAGCAAAUGGGAGUUAAAGAAAGUCCAUAUUUCUAUAUUACAAUAACUUACACUAUAAUACACAGAUGGCAUACAUUUCUAAGCAAUUUCAGUUCACAGAAAAUGUAGAUAAAUUUAGGUGAGCAAGAUGUAAGGGAAGGGUUAGUAAUCAAGCUGAGUGUGAUUGUGAGAUUAAAUCUAAUAUUAUCUUAUACAAUUAUUGUAUAAUUGUAUCAGUUGACAUAUCUGUUGAAACAGAAGGUGGGAGAGUUUUGCAUGCGCUUCCGAAAUGUACUGGAUGAUGUUAGGAGAGAGACAGGUCAACGUGGCUAGGCCAUAAGUGUUUACUAAUUGAGGCUUAGGAAAGUUAAGCUCCUAACCAGAGACUGGGAGAUAGAGGCGCUAAAGUGUAUAACAUUUAUAUUUAAUAUAUAUUUAAUAAUAUAUAAUAAAGUCUUAAAAUGCCAAUUUUAAGUCUUUUCAUUUUCUUCUUAAAAACAGAGGUUUUAUUGCGUUUGGUCCACAGUCGGUAUUUCACAUUAUCUCAUAGCGCAGGGCGCCUGGGUGGAGGGCUCUGUGCAGUACUUGGCGUGGCCUGGAGCCAGGAGAGAUAGAGCAGUAGACCUGGUCAGUUGCCGGCGGAGGGAGCCCCGUGGGCCACUGGGCCACCCGGCUAGUACUU
rnacentral:lncRNA from 10 species